GGACCCGCACAAGUAGUGGAGCAUGUGGUUUAAUUCGAAGAUACGCGCAGAACCUUACCAACACUUGACAUGUUCGUCGCGACUCUAAGAGAUUAGAGUUUUCGGUUCGGCCGGACGAAACACAGGUGCUGCAUGGCUGUCGUCAGCUCGUGUCGUGAGAUGUUGGGUUAAGUCCCGCAACGAGCGCAACCCUCACUUUUAGUUGCCAUCAUUUAGUUGGGCACUCUGAAAGAACUGCCAGUGAUAAGCUGGAGGAAGGUGGGGAUGACGUCAAGUCCUCAUGGCCCUUACGUGUUGGGCUACACACGUGCUACAAUGGGUAUCUACAACAGGAAAGCAAGACUGCGAGGUC
rnacentral:rRNA from 1 species